rnacentral:rRNA from 1 species
GAUGAACGCUGGCGGCGUGCCUAAUACAUGCAAGUCGAGCGAACGGACGAGAAGCUUGCUUCUCUGAUGUUAGCGGCGGACGGGUGAGUAACACGUGGAUAACCUACCUAUAAGACUGGGAUAACUUCGGGAAACCGGAGCUAAUACCGGAUAAUAUUUUGAACCGCAUGGUUCAAAAGUGAAAGACGGUCUUGCUGUCACUUAUAGAUGGAUCCGCGCUGCAUUAGCUAGUUGGUAAGGUAACGGCUUACCAAGGCAACGAUGCAUAGCCGACCUGAGAGGGUGAUCGGCCACACUGGAACUGAGACACGGUCCAGACUCCUACGGGAGGCAGCAGUAGGGAAUCUUCCGCAAUGGGCGAAAGUCUGACGGAGCAACGCCGCGUGAGUGAUGAAGGUCUUCGGAUCGUAAAACUCUGUUAUUAGGGAAGAACAUAUGUGUAAGUAACUGUGCACAUCUUGACGGUACCUAAUCAGAAAGCCACGGCUAACUACGUGCCAGCAGCCGCGGUAAUACGUAGGUGGCAAGCGUUAUCCGGAAUUAUUGGGCGUAAAGCGCGCGUAGGCGGUUUUUUAAGUCUGAUGUGAAAGCCCACGGCUCAACCGUGGAGGGUCAUUGGAAACUGGAAAACUUGAGUGCAGAAGAGGAAAGUGGAAUUCCAUGUGUAGCGGUGAAAUGCGCAGAGAUAUGGAGGAACACCAGUGGCGAAGGCGACUUUCUGGUCUGUAACUGACGCUGAUGUGCGAAAGCGUGGGGAUCAAACAGGAUUAGAUACCCUGGUAGUCCACGCCGUAAACGAUGAGUGCUAAGUGUUAGGGGGUUUCCGCCCCUUAGUGCUGCAGCUAACGCAUUAAGCACUCCGCCUGGGGAGUACGACCGCAAGGUUGAAACUCAAAGGAAUUGACGGGGACCCGCACAAGCGGUGGAGCAUGUGGUUUAAUUCGAAGCAACGCGAAGAACCUUACCAAAUCUUGACAUCCUUUGACAACUCUAGAGAUAGAGCUUUCCCCUUCGGGGGACAAAGUGACAGGUGGUGCAUGGUUGUCGUCAGCUCGUGUCGUGAGAUGUUGGGUUAAGUCCCGCAACGAGCGCAACCCUUAAGCUUAGUUGCCAUCAUUAAGUUGGGCACUCUAAGUUGACUGCCGGUGACAAACCGGAGGAAGGUGGGGAUGACGUCAAAUCAUCAUGCCCCUUAUGAUUUGGGCUACACACGUGCUACAAUGGACAAUACAAAGGGCAGCGAAACCGCGAGGUCAAGCAAAUCCCAUAAAGUUGUUCUCAGUUCGGAUUGUAGUCUGCAACUCGACUACAUGAAGCUGGAAUCGCUAGUAAUCGUAGAUCAGCAUGCUACGGUGAAUACGUUCCCGGGUCU